GAUGAAGAACGCAGCGAAAUGCGAUAAGUAAUGUGAAUUGCAGAAUUCAGUGAAUCAUCGAAUCUUUGAACGCACGUUGCGCCCAUUAGUAUUCUAGUGGGCAUGCCUGUUCGAGCGUCAUUUCAACCCUUAAGCCUAGCUUAGUAUUGGGAAUCGACUUUACUGUCGUUCCUCAAAUUCAACGGCGGAUUUAUAGCAAUCUCUGAACGUAGUAAUUUUUUUCCUCGUUUUUGAAAUACUAUAAACCUCAGCCGCUAAACCCCCAAUUUUUCUAUGGUUGACCUCGGAUCAGGUAGGAAUACCCGCUGAACUUAAGCAUAUCAAUAAGCGGAGGA
rnacentral:misc_RNA from 1 species